rnacentral:rRNA from 1 species
GACGGUACCUGGAUAAGAAGCCCCGGCUAACUUCGUGCCAGCAGCCGCGGUAAUACGAAGGGGGCUAGCGUUGUUCGGAAUCACUGGGCGUAAAGCGCACGUAGGCGGAUCUUUAAGUCAGGGGUGAAAUCCCGAGGCUCAACCUGGGAACUGCCUUUGAUACUGGAGGUCUCGAGUCCGGGAGAGGUGAGUGGAACUGCGAGUGUAGAGGUGAAAUUCGUAGAUAUUCGCAAGAACACCAGUGGCGAAGGCGGCUCACUGGCCCGGUACUGACGCUGAGGUGCGAAAGCGUGGGGAGCAAACAGGAUUAG